rnacentral:tRNA from 1 species
UUAACUGAAACCAAUUAUUGAGGUAUAUUACUGUUAAUAAUAUUAAAGAAAUUAAACUUUUCCAGUUGAA